UCGGGCAGGCGUGGGGAGUAUGCAAGGCGGCCCUGGGUCGGCCAUGCCGAGGGCAUCACUGGGGUGCCCGCCAGAGCUCUUGCAGCGAGUGCAGUGGUGGGGGCCGAAGCCAAAGCGUGGGGGCUGGUGAGAGAGCAAGAAAAGGAAUCGGGGACUUCCGGGGGAAGUGUGUGUCCACGUGGGCCCUGCACAUUCUGCUCGUGUCCUGUUCUGUUUAGAAAGAAGAAAAGAGAAGGGAGGUUGGUCUUUUUUUUUUUUUUAAUCCAAAGCAAAUACAUACUUAAAAUUGAAAUUAAAGAAGAAUAUAGACUGAAAGUCUUGUUUUCCAGCCCCCUUUCCCACUCACAGUGGGGGACCUUCAUUAGCAGUUUGGUGGCUGUCCAUCUAUAUCUUAUCUUAUGUACAUAUGAAAAAUACGCGUGUAUGUUUGCGUUUAACCAAAUUGAGGUCACGUUGAAAUACUGUUCUGCACCAGGCCUUUUUGGACUCAGGUUACACGAUCUUGAUGAUUUCAUUUCUAAGUACUAAGAACGAGCAUACAUUUUUUCAGUAUCUGUUGCUUAAACCGACAAGGAAAAAUACAUUGUAUGUAUUGGGAUUUUUUAACUGCUCAUGAAUUUUACUCUGAUGCUUGCAAAUAGUGAUCGGGGAUUGAAAGUCGAGUGCUGUUGCAUUUACAUGGCUCUAAACGUCCAGUGCGUCCACGGGUCACGUGCUACGGAGGCGAAAGUUUGCUGUUUGCUUCCUCAGUGUCCCCUGGUCUGUCUGCUCUCCCGUCAGUAGGUUACCACAUAGAUGGUUAUCCAGAAACUUCUCAUACCCAUAGAUGGAUAGCUGAGCCUACUUUUCAUCAAGACAGUGGGGGUUUAGAGCCUAAGAUUUGCUGAUUAGUUUCAGUGUAUAAACUUCCCGUUUUCUUUUUAGUCCAGAUUUGACAUGCUUUUAAACCUCAAAUGGAGGCAAACAGCUUCUAUGGACAGAAAAUAAUCCAAGCCAGUUCAGCAUGUCAGGUUUUCAGGUGUUCCUUUCCGUUUGCUGAAAAUUACAGCCUGUUUCUGUUGUGCUCUGUGUCUCUGCACUGAGAACACACGGGUUCUGUGCCUUCUGUGAGGCUUUGCUCUGUGUCAGCAGGUUAGCAGAACGGCGAAAAGUCAUUAAGAAAGAAAAUGGGGCCAGUGAUGGACACGGUCAAAACCACAAGCUGUGGUGAUGUCACUCGGGCGACCAGGGGGAGGGCGCAGGACAAGGGAGGGCUCCGAGCUGGGGGUGGGUGCGAGGCGUCACCCGUGCUUUCCACCCAGAGUCGUCCUCCUGGAGCCGCGGGGACAACUGUGUUCGUCACUUUGGGAGUUGAGUGUCGCAUCCGAGCCAUGGGACUUCGUUUAAAAGUGGCCUGAUGGUGGAUUUUUAUGAACAGUGUCUGGUUCGUACGAUCUGAACCCGUUACCCAGAUCUGGGCCUCUUGUCCUAAAAUGAUAAACACCAACGUGAACAAGCACUGUGUG